rnacentral:rRNA from 1 species
UGGGGAAUAUUGGACAAUGGGCGAAAGCCUGAUCCAGCAAUGCCGCGUGAGUGAUGAAGGCCUUAGGGUUGUAAAGCUCUUUUACCCGGGAUGAUAAUGACAGUACCGGGAGAAUAAGCCCCGGCUAACUCCGUGCCAGCAGCCGCGGUAAUACGGAGGGGGCUAGCGUUGUUCGGAAUUACUGGGCGUAAAGCGCACGUAGGCGGGUUGUUAAGUCAGGGGUGAAAUCCUGGAGCUCAACUCCAGAACUGCCUUUGAUACUGGCAACCUAGAGACUGGAAGAGGUUAGUGGAAUUCCCAGUGUAGAGGUGAAAUUCGUAGAUAUUGGGAAGAACACCAGUGGCGAAGGCGGCUAACUGGUCCAGCACUGACGCUGAGGUGCGAAAGCGUGGGGAGCAAAC